UGACCAAUCUCAUACAUGCGAGUCGAGCGCGGAAAGCAGGCAUUGCCCUUGCGGGCAGCGCCUGUGGAACGAGCGGGGGACGGGUGAGUAACACGUGGGCAACCUGCCUGUAAGACUGGGAUAACUCGUGGAAACGCGAGCUAAUACCGGAUAACACAUGACGUUGCAUGACGUGAUGUUGAAAGGCGGCCUCUGGUUGCCACUUACAGAUGGGCCCGCGGCGCAUUUGUUAGUUGGUGGGGUAAAAGCUUACCAAGGCGACGAUGCGUAGCCGACCUGAGAGGGUGAUCGGCCACACUGCUACUGAGACACGGCCCAGACUCCUACGGGAGGCAGCAGUAGGGAAUCAUCCGCAAUGUACGAAAGUGUGACCGUGCAACGCCGCGUGAGUGAUGAAGGUUUUCGGAUCGUAAAACUCUGUUGUCAGGGAAGAACAAGUGCUGUUCGAACAGGGCGGCACCUUGACGGUACCUGACCAGAAAGCCCCGCCUGACUACGUGCCAGCAGCCGCGUUAAUACGUACGAGGCGAGCGUUGUCCGGAAUUAUUGGGCGUAAAGUGCGUGCAGUUGGUCUUUUAAGUCUGAUGUGAAAUCCCGCGGCGCAUCCGCGGGCAGCCAUAGUACACUGGAGGACUUGAGUGCAGAAGAGGAGAGUGGAAUUCCACGUGUAGCGGCGAAAUGCGUAUAGAUGUGUAGUCACACCAGUGGCGAAGGCUACUCUCUGAUCUGUAACUGACGCUGAGGUGCGAACGCGUGUGUAGCGAACACGCUUAGAUACGCUGUUAGUCCACGCCGUAAACGUUGAGUGCUACGUCGUCAGGGGGCUUCCCCCUCCUUAGUGCUGAAGCUAAACGCAAUAUGCACUCCGCCUGGUGAGUACGGACGCAAGGUGAGACUCAGCAGGACUUGACGCGUGACUCGCUACAGCGAUGAUCAUGUCUUUCAAUUCAGCAGCUACUGCUAGCACCUUAACAAGUCCUUGGACAUCUGCUGAUGUACGGUAGAAGAUAGCGUGCUUCGCAUCGAGCGAACAGAUGGUACAUGUCGGUGCAAUGAAUGUCAGUCGCUCGGUAUCUCUGUACAUGUUGGAUUAGUCUGUACGAGCCAAUCUUUGCAACUAGUUGCAUGCACUUAGUUGGAU
rnacentral:rRNA from 1 species